GGCGCCGGGACCAUGGGCUGGGGUUGGAGGAGCCGCUGCUGCUGCCUCGGGCGGCGGGACCUGCUCUGCGUGCUGGCGCUGCUCGCGGGCUGCCUGCUCCCAGUGUGCCGGACGCGCGUCUACACCAACCACUGGGCAGUGAAGAUCGCCGGCGGCUUCGCGGAGGCCGACCGCAUAGCCAGCAAGUACGGAUUUAUCAACGUAGGACAGAUCGGCGCACUGAAGGACUACUAUCACUUCUACCAUAGUAGGACCUUUAAACGGUCUGUUCUCUCGAGCAGAGGAACCCACAGUUUCAUCUCCAUGGAACCAAAGGUGGAGUGGAUCCAGCAGCAAGUGGUGAAAAAACGGACCAAGAGGGAUUACGACCUCAGCCGCGCCCAGUCCACCUACUUCAAUGAUCCCAAGUGGCCAAGCAUGUGGUACAUGCACUGCAGCGACAACACACAUCCCUGCCAGUCAGACAUGAAUAUUGAGGGAGCCUGGAAGCGAGGUUACACGGGGAAGAACAUCGUGGUGACUAUCCUGGAUGACGGCAUUGAGAGAACCCACCCUGAUCUGAUGCAAAACUAUGAUGCUCUGGCAAGUUGCGAUGUGAAUGGGAAUGACUUGGACCCGAUGCCUCGUUACGAUGCAAGCAAUGAGAACAAGCAUGGGACCCGUUGUGCUGGAGAAGUGGCAGCCGCUGCAAACAACUCUCACUGCACCGUUGGAAUCGCUUUCAACGCCAAGAUUGGAGGUGUGCGGAUGCUGGACGGCGAUGUCACAGACAUGGUGGAAGCGAAGUCUGUCAGCUACAACCCACAGCAUGUGCACAUCUACAGUGCCAGCUGGGGCCCGGAUGACGACGGCAAGACUGUGGAUGGGCCAGCUCCCCUCACCCGGCAAGCCUUUGAGAACGGUGUGAGAAUGGGGCGGAGAGGCCUUGGCUCUGUGUUUGUCUGGGCAUCUGGCAAUGGUGGAAGGAGCAAGGACCACUGCUCUUGUGAUGGUUACACCAACAGCAUCUACACCAUCUCCAUCAGCAGUACAGCUGAGAGUGGAAAGAAACCGUGGUACUUGGAAGAGUGUUCCUCUACACUGGCCACAACCUACAGCAGUGGAGAAUCCUAUGAUAAGAAAAUAAUCACUACUGAUCUAAGACAGCGGUGCACGGACAAUCAUACCGGGACGUCAGCCUCAGCCCCCAUGGCUGCUGGCAUCAUUGCCCUAGCCCUGGAAGCCAAUCCGUUUCUGACCUGGAGAGACGUACAGCAUGUUAUUGUCAGGACUUCCCGUGCGGGACAUUUGAACGCUAAUGACUGGAAAACCAAUGCUGCUGGUUUUAAGGUGAGCCAUCUCUAUGGAUUUGGACUGAUGGAUGCGGAAGCCAUGGUGAUGGAGGCAGAGAAGUGGACAACUGUUCCUCAGCAGCACGUGUGUGUGGAAAGCACGGACCGGCAAAUCAAGACCAUUCGCCCCAACAGUGCGGUGCGCUCCAUCUACAAAGCCUCGGGCUGCUCAGAUAAUCCCAACCAUCACGUCAACUACCUGGAGCACGUGGUUGUGCGUAUCACCAUCACGCACCCUCGGAGGGGAGACCUGGCCAUCUACCUGACCUCCCCCUCGGGAACCAGAUCCCAGCUUUUGGCCAACAGGCUCUUUGACCAUUCCAUGGAAGGGUUUAAGAACUGGGAGUUCAUGACCAUACAUUGCUGGGGAGAACGGGCUGCUGGUGACUGGAUCCUUGAAGUUUAUGAUACUCCAUCUCAGCUGAGGAACUUCAAGACUCCAGGUAAAUUGAAAGAAUGGUCCUUGGUCCUCUAUGGCACAUCUGUGCAGCCCUACUCCCCAACCAAUGAGUUUCCCAAGGUAGAGCGCUUCCGCUACAGCCGGGUGGAAGAUCCCACAGAUGACUAUGGUGCUGAAGAUUAUGCGGGUCCCUGUGAUGCUGAAUGCAGUGAGGUUGGCUGUGACGGGCCAGGACCAGACCACUGCAAUGACUGUUUACACUACUACUACAAGCUGAAAAAUAACACCAGAAUCUGUGUCUCCAGCUGCCCUCCUGGCCACUACCAUGCUGACAAGAAGAGGUGCCGGAAGUGUGCGCCCAACUGUGAGUCCUGCUUCGGCAGCCACGGUGAUCAGUGCCUAUCCUGUAAAUAUGGCUACUUUCUGAAUGAAGACACCAGCAGCUGUGUUACGCAGUGCCCUGAUGGGUCGUACCAGGAUACCAAGAAGAACGUUUGUGAGAAAUGCAGUGAGAACUGUAAGACGUGCACCGGAUUCCACAACUGCACCGAGUGCAAGGGCGGGUUAAGUCUUCAGGGAUCCCGCUGUUCGGUCACCUGUGAGGAUGGACAGUUCUUCAAUGGCCACGAUUGCCAGCCCUGUCACCGUUUCUGUGCUGCCUGUGCCGGGGCCGGAGCAGACGGGUGCAUUAACUGCACUGAGGGUUACGUCAUGGAAGAGGGGCGAUGUGUACAGAGCUGCAGUGUGAGUUACUAUUUGGACCAUAAUUCAGAUAGCGGAUACAAAUCUUGCAAGAGAUGUGACAACAGCUGUUUGACAUGCAGUGGCCCGGGCUUCAAGAACUGUUCCAGCUGCCCCAGUGGAUAUCUUUUAGACUUGGGAAUGUGUCAGAUGGGAGCCAUCUGCAAGGAUGGAGAAUAUAUGGAUGAGCAAGGCCACUGCCGUGCCUGUGAAGCCUCAUGUGCCACGUGCUCGGGACCCACUCAAGACGACUGUACCAGCUGCCCCAUAAUGAGGGUUUUUGAUGAUGGCCGCUGCAUGUUGAAUUGCCCCUCAUGGAAGUUUGAACUCAAGAAGCAAUGCCAUUCCUGCCACCACAGUUGCCAAGGAUGCCGAGGAAGAGGGCCUUCCAACUGUACCUCCUGCGGAGCAGACAAGCAUGGUCGGGAGCGCUUCCUGUACCAGGGAGAAUGUCGAGAGAGCUGCCCUGUGGGCCAUUAUCCUGCCAAGGGACAUGCCUGCCUGCCCUGCCCAGACAACUGUGAGCUUUGCUACAAUCCACAUGUCUGCAGUCGAUGUAUGAGAGGCUACUUCAUCGUGCCCACCAACCACACCUGCCAGAGGCUGGAAUGCGGACAAGGUGAAUUCCAGGAUUCUGAGUAUGAAGAAUGCAUGCCUUGUGAGGAAGGAUGUCUGGGAUGCACUGUGGAUGAUCCAGGAGCCUGUACCUCGUGCGCUGCAGGAUACUACAUGUUUGAGCGGCGUUGUUAUAAAGUCUGUCCUGAAAAGACCUUCAGUGCCGAAUGGGAGUGCAGAGCCUGUGGCCCCAACUGCGGCAACUGUGACCAGCAUGAGUGCCAUUGGUGUGAGGAGGGCUUCUUUCUCUCGGGUGGCAGCUGUGUGCAGGAUUGUGGCCCUGGCUUCUAUGGAGACCAAGAGUUGGGAGAAUGUCAGCCCUGCCACUGGGCCUGUGAGACUUGUACCGGCUUGGGCUACAACCAAUGCAGCAGCUGUCAAGAAGGAUUGCAGCUGUGGCACGGGGCGUGUGUCUGGCGCACAGGGCCCCAAGAGGGGGAAGGCAAUUUCCGGAACGAAGCUGUUCCCACUGAAAACCCAUCUAUGGUGAAGAACCUGCUGCAGGAGCAACGAAGGUGGAAAGUUCAAGUCAAAAGAGAUGCCACAAAGCAAUAUCAACCUUGCCAUUCUUCCUGUAAGACCUGCGAUGGAUCUGAAACUCUCUGCACUUCAUGUCCAGCAGGUACAUACCUGUGGCUGCAGACCUGUGUUCCCUCCUGUCCCCAAGGCACAUGGCCGUCGCUCAGGAGCGGCAGCUGCGAGAACUGUGCUGAAGACUGUGCCUCCUGCACUGGGGCUGACCUUUGCCAGAAGUGCCUAAGUCAGCCGGACAACCUUCUGCUCCUCCAUGAGGGCCGCUGCUACCACAGUUGCCCGGAGGGCUUCUACGCACAAGACGGGAUUUGUGAACACUGCAGUUUCCCAUGCAGAACGUGUGAGGGAAAUGCUACCAACUGUCACUCUUGUGAAGGAGACUUUGUCCUAGACCACGGGGUAUGCUUGAAAACUUGUCCUGAAAAGCAUGUGGCCAUGGAAGGUGUCUGCAAACACUGCCCAGAAAAUUGCCAGGACUGCAUCCACGAGGAAACUUGCAAAGAGUGCGUGCCCAACUUCUUCCUGCACGAGGACACUUGCCGUCCCUCCUGUCCCAAGCACUUUUAUCCUGACUUGGGCCAGUGUGUCUCCUGCCAUAAAAACUGUCUGGAGUGCAAUGGCCCCAAGGAAGAUGACUGUGUGGGCUGCGCUGAUUCUUCCAAGGUUCUCUCCAAUGGGCUGUGUCUGGACGUGUGCCCCGAGGGAACCUACAAAGACGAGGGGACUGACAAAUGCGAAGAUUGCCCUGAGUUCUGCCGGAUCUGCUCAUCAGAAUGGACCUGCCUGGCUUGUCAGGAAGGCCUGACGAUCGUGAAUGAGGUCUGCACAGCGCCCGAGGAGUGUGCAGCUGUCGAGUACUGGGAUGAGGGCACUCACAGGUGCCAGCCAUGUCACAGGAAGUGCUCCCGCUGCUCAGGGCCUGCCGAGGACCAGUGCUAUACCUGCCCUAGAGAGACUCUUCUUCUCAACACGACCUGUGUUAAAAGCUGCCCAGAGGGCUACCACACUGACAAGGACAGCGGCCGGUGUGUGCCCUGCCACUACUCCUGCAGGACCUGUGAAGGACCCCACAGCAUGCAAUGCCACUCCUGCCGACCUGGCUGGUUCCAGCUGGGCAAAGAGUGCUUGCUGCAAUGUAGGGAUGGAUAUUAUGGAGAAAGCACCAGUGGUCGGUGUGAGAAGUGUGACAAGAGCUGCAAGGCAUGCCGGGGCCCGCGGCCCACAGACUGCCAGGCUUGCGAUACAUAUUUCUUUCUCCUGCGCUCCAAGGGCCAGUGUCACCGCACCUGCCCAGAGCACUACUACGCAGACCAACAGGCGCAGACCUGUGAGAGGUGCCACCCAACGUGUGACAAAUGUAACGGAAAGGGGGUAUGGAAUUGCUUGUCCUGUGUGUGGAACUACCACCUUCUGAGAGGAAUGUGUGCCUUGGACUGUCCUGUAGGGGAAUACAGAGAUGGAGAGGGAGAAAAGUUUAGCUGUAAAAAAUGCCAUGAGAGCUGCAUAGAGUGCAAGGGACCCGGAGCCAAGAACUGCACUGUGUGCUCAACCGGCCUGCUGCUGAACAUGGACGACAGCCGCUGCCUCCGCUGCUGCAACACUUCCCACCCCCUCGGCUCUCAGGACUGCUGUGACUGCCAGAGUACCACAGAAGAGUGCAUCCUUCCAGCCAGUGAGGCUGCACCCUUGGAGCGCGCCAAGAUCGCUUUGCUGGUGGCCUCGGGUGUUAUGCUGCUGCUGCUGUUGGGGGCCGCUGUGCUCGUGUGGCGGAAGUCUCGAAGCCCACCUGUGGCAAAGGGGCGCUACGAAAAGUUGGUGGAACCCACCGUGUCGUACUCCUCCUACAGACGCAGCUAUAUUGAGGAGGACCAGGUGAUUGAGUACAGGGACAGGGACUAUGAUGAAGAUGAUGAGGAUGACAUCGUCUACAUGGGCCAAGAUGGCACUGUCUACCGGAAGUUCAAGUACGGGCUGCUGGACGGGGAAGAAGAUGAUGAGUUGGAGUAUGACGAUGAGAGCUAUUCCUACCAGUAAUCAAAGCCUAGUGGUCCCCACGGCUCUCAGCCCUGCUGGGAGAUACCGUCACGUUGACUGAGGUUCGAGUGUUUGUGCUUUGUCCUAACUUUGUUUCCAACCUGAAUAAACAGGGAUGCUGGAGUCUGCUGUGCUGCCUUUGACCAACUGAGUGCAAAGAACAGAUCCUGCAGAGGGAGAAUUCAAAGGCACUUUCCUGGAGGGUAUGUCAAGACGUUAAACGCAGAAAGUGGAAGGAAGUCAGAUCCAUUAAACACCAACAUGAUUCCUAAAAUGGUCGGGGCAGAGGACCCAUAAGGACUCUGUUUUCAAGCUGCUUGUUGGAGACCCCUGCUACCUUCUGGAAAUCUGCUAUUUGACUAGUGGGGAGACGGAGUAACAGAGAGUUCUUGGGUUGGGUAGGAGGUCUCUUCCUUUUUGAUUGUGUUUAAGAAGAAAAUUUGUAAAGAUCAGGAAAAUAGGGCUUGUAAUUUCUUUCACAGUACUUCCAGGGGAGCCGAAAAGACCAUCUCUCCUGCCAAUGCUCAGGACCCAGAUAAAAUGAAAGGAUUGGUGUGGUCUCAUAGCUGAGAGAGCUCAUACUCACUGAGCUCUGGCUCCUUUGUAGAAGCCCAGAACCGUACCGACCACUGGCAAAGGAAGUUUAGGUAGAGGGCAGGCAGUAUCAAGUCCACAAGGAAGGAAAUUGUUCCCAAGCUUCGCACCCUGGUAAUUUUCUAAGGAUCUUUUUGAUAGGAAGUAAUACAAGAACAUGGUAAUGGCAACUUAGCACAAAAUACAAUAAUUUCAUCCACUCUAAAAAAAAUUGAAAGAUGUUAGCUGCUAAAUCCGUGCACAGCUUUCACCAAUGAGUCAUCCAAAAAGCCUGGACUCUCCUUAAGAAAAGCUGGGGUAGAGUCUACCAUUUACAAACUUUCCGACACGGCGCUCACUGGCUGCAGGCAAGCUGCAAGCAUCUGCCUAGCUCUCUUCAGUCCGUGACUUUUUGUUUCUGGGUCUCCAAAACUUUUCUUGCACUCUGGUCAAGGUGUUCUUAGAUUAUGCAGCUGUGGGCACUUUCUGCAGAUGAGAAUUCACAGGGUGGGCACUGACUGCAGAAAGACACGGGAAGAGCCUCAUGGAGCUCCUUGUGGCGGGCAACACUGUGUGCGGAACAGCAAAAGUGCACCGUGAGAGGGUGAUAGUCUAAUAAGAACUGCACGCUUACUGUGGACCAGAUACCAACCUAACUAAGGUAUCUCGCCCACUUCAUCCUUAACAACUCUACCAGAUGAUGCCAUCCACCCCUUGUUUUUAUAGGAAAUCUGAGGCUUCCAAAAGGCUAAGCCAUUAGUUCAAAGUCACAGACAGCUGAUCAAAAUUCAAGAAAUAAGAAUGACCUUGAAGCAUUAUUCUUAAUAACUGUGCUCCACUGGCAGUGUGAAAACAAACAUCCUAGACAUAAUAAAACUAGGUCUAUUAUUUUAUUCUGUGACAGUUAUCCCACACACUAUAGUAACAUAUGUGGAUGUGAAUAUGGGAAACCCCUAUGCUUGUGUUUCUUUAGAGAAAAGCCCUCAGAACAGAGACCACUAAACAACCAGGUUUCUCCCCAGGCUUUUUGAGCAAAAAGAAAGAAAAAGAAAAAACUCUAUUGUUAUUGUGCAAACUACCAUGGGAACAUCCUUGGAAUCAGUAAAAUAUUAAUGAGUAAACUGGGCUCCAGCAAAACUUUAUUUAGGGACACUUAUUAUCUGAAUUUCAGACCAUAUAAAUUUCAGACCAUAUAAAUUUCAGACAUAUGAAGUAACAUCCUUUUGAUGGCCAUUUAAAAACAUGGUAACUCUGAAGUCUAGCUUCAGACUCUUCAGGCUCCGUGAGUACCACAUACACAUAGGAUCCCGUUCACAAUUUUUGCUCAUUUAAAAUGAUCUCUUCCAAAUCCAUUUGAUUACCAUCAUAUCAGUAGGAGAAUUCAUCAUUUCUUGCUGUGUAAUUCCAGAGUUCAACUAUAGAAACAAAUCAUUUAUAUUUAUGUAUCAUUCAUAUUCCUUGAGAAUGUAGAAACAGACUGAUCUGCUCUCAAGUAGCCUUAAAUUUUUUCCAAGAAAAAUAUCUGUUUGUGAUAAUGUACACUCUUAUAAGACGACUCGAAAUACUAAGAAAAAAAAUGGUGUUGUUACUCUUUAUGAUCCACAAGAAAAGGAACCUUGUGCCUGUGUGUGAUGAAGACUGGAUGCUUACCCAGUCCCCGUCUGUGUACUCAUGAUAUGUUCUUCUCAAACUUCCUUUGAAUUCUGUCUAACAACUGCCUUAAUGGAUAAAUAUGUGGUUGAAAAACAGUUCUCAGUUUUCUGCUUGCAAGAAAUUCGAAAAUGUUAAGACUGAAAAUACACCAGGAGACUGGGUAAAAGUCCAGAAGAUUCUGGCUCCCUGAAAGGAAUUUUAAUUGGAAACAAAGUGAAAUCAAGAACAGAUUAUUCUACAGAGACUUGCUUAUUAGCAAACUGUUUCUGGGCAUUUUGUGUACAUAGUAUUAUGCUGUACCAAAUAAUAGAUGCAAAACAGUAGGCAUUCCGGGUUGUGUCUGUUUUAAUCCAUCUCCGCCCAAUGCUGAACAAGUUUUACCAUUGAUGAAUUUCCUCCCCAACAGAUCAGUCCAGUCCAUCUUUCGGCUCCAUUACUACAGUCUUGUCCCUCUUAUUACUGAAUUUCAAUCUCUAUUUUUUUUUUCUCACUCUGGCUAGCAAAAGUCAUUUGCAGGUAGAAUACUGAUGCGGGCUAUAAUUUCAGCACUUGGGGAACUGAAAACCAAGAGAUAGAGCAUCAGGUCGGCGAGAAAGGGAGACAGAGACAGAGUCAGAGAGACCCCAGGAGAUGAUUCGGGAUAAAAGCUCCUGUACAGGCCUGACCAGGGUGGAUGGAGAAAAUGCCUCCUGAAAGUUGUCUCUGACCCACACAUGCACACACUCAGGCAGUAGUAAAAGAGCAGCCUUAAGCCAGGCAC